rnacentral:piRNA from 1 species
UGUAGAUUUUCCAUGCACUUUUGAGGC